rnacentral:rRNA from 1 species
UACGUAGGUGGCGAGCGUUGUCCGGAUUUACUGGGCGUAAAGAGCGCGCAGGCGGUCGUUCAAGUCGCGUGUGAAAGCCCCCGGCUCAACUGGGGAGGGUCACGCGAUACUGAUCGACUCGAAGGCAGGAGAGGGAAGUGGAAUUCCCGGUGUAGUGGUGAAAUGCGCAGAUAUCGGGAGGAACACCGGUGGCGAAGGCGGUUCUCUGGGCAGUAACUGACGCUGAGGAGCGAAAGCGUGGGGAGCGAACAGG